CACCACUACACUCAGCAGCAUUUACUUCUGAAGGCAUACAUUCCUGUCAUUGUUGCACCUUUGGGGCGUGUCUUUAACGCUGAGCUAAAAAUCACUUAAACUCAGGAAAGGUGAUCGCAGCUUUUAGCUCCACCUCCGGAGAAAAUAUCUCUCAACAUAAAGAUUUCAAAGGAGGGCUGGCAAGAUGGCCCAACAGAUUCUCACACAACCCAGACAAGAUUCAAACUCAUGGUGUUGCUGAGAUGACCUUGAACUGAUCCCGAGUCUCCCUCUCGGCGCUGGGAUUCCAGGUGCAGAAAGUGGCUUCACCAACAGUGAGCUACCAAGUUCUGGAACUGCCAUUUCUCACACAGUGACACAUGGCUAUCAAAGACCUCCCCAGCCUUCAAGCACUGUGUGGUUGGCUUUCAAAAUGGUGGUGAGAAAGCCAGCCUGCAGCCACACUCAAGCUGUAUAGUGAAGGGAGAAUCACGCUGGGAAAUGUGUCUACUCGCCUAGAUAUUCUGAGUAGCCCAGAAAGCCACAUCUGUUAUUUUUAUUUUAUUUUAAAUUUCUUUAAUUAUAUGUGUAUGAGUGUUUUAUUUUCAUGUAUGUGUACCACAUGUGUGUCUAGUGUCCUCAGAGACUGAGAAAAGGACA
ensembl:lncRNA